rnacentral:tRNA from 1 species
GGACUCCCUACUUUUAUUUUGGGGCCUAUUAAUAAUUAUAUAAAUGACUACCACCCUAAUAA